GCUGUCUCCUGUAAAUACUUCAACAGUGAGGUGCCCAAAUUUUGAUCUGAGAGAAACAAGGAAGGCUGAGUUUAUGAACUAGGAGGAGCGGGGCACCCCUCUGUGCAUGGUGCAGAAGGAAGGACCACACACACAGCUCUCAGCGCGCAUCGAGUGAUCAGUACUUCCGCGUCAACCACUUAUCCAUUUGGUUAUGGUUAUGAGUUUUUUCAAACAUGCUAUACAGGAACACCACACUGAUGACAUGACUACUAACAGGAAAGGAUAUCAGCUUUGGCGAAGUCUCUGAUGCCACAGUGAGGAGCGUUUGGUGUGUUGGGCAAGCAGAAGUCCAGGUAAAACCAGUGUGCCAGCUCAAUCUGGAAGCAAACCCUGAUAGCGUUGUCCCUUUCCUCGCUGGGAAUGUGCAGGAUGAACCGACUAUACAGACAAAGGACAGAUUAUUUGUAGACAAAAUAAAAUUGUAACCAUUUUAGUUGCCGCUCCUAAUUGCCGAUAAAUUAUAUUAUUGCCAUUAUUUUUAUGAGACCCCACAUCUGCGGUCCCCUCCAAGGUUUCUCAUUGUAGCCCAUUAGGUUGAGUUUUUCCUUGCCCUGAUGUGGGAUCUGAACCGAGGAUGUCGUUGUGGCUUGUGCAGCCCUUUGAGACACUUGGGAUUUAGGGCUAUAUAAAUAAACUUUGAUUGAUUGAUUGAUCGAUCUAAAUAUAUGUUUGAAC